GGGUGGGACCGGCGCGGCAGAAACCACCGAACCCCGCCAGGUCUGAGAGGAAGCAACGGUAAGGAGGCCAUUCUGGGCGCCGCCGGAGAUCCUGCCCGGC
rnacentral:SRP_RNA from 1 species